CCAAUAAAUAAAGAUGGAAAUAAAGAUAGAAAUAAAAAAGAUGAACCGGACCAUGAAGACGAUUCUGAAGAAGACAUCGAACCGGUAGAUGUUCUACUUCAAUUUAUUCCU
rnacentral:ribozyme from 1 species